rnacentral:rRNA from 1 species
UGGGGAAUAUUGCACAAUGGGGGAAACCCUGAUGCAGCGACGCCGCGUGAACGAAGAAGGUAUUCGUAUUGUAAAGUUCUGUCCUAUGGGAAGAUAAUGACAGUACCAUAGAAGAAAGCUCCGGCUAAAUACGUGCCAGCAGCCGCGGUAAUACGUAUGGAGCGAGCGUUGUCCGGAAUUAUUGGGCGUAAAGGGUACGCAGGCGGUUUAAUAAGUCGAAUGUUAAAGAUCGGGGCUCAACCCCGUAAAGCAUUGGAAACUGAUAAACUUGAGUAGUGGAGAGGAGAGUGGAAUUCCUAGUGUAGUGGUGAAAUACGUAGAUAUUAGGAGGAAUACCAGUAGCGAAGGCGACUUUCUGGACACAAACUGACGCUGAGGUACGAAAGCGUGGGGAGCAAACAGG